UACAGAGGUCCCAAGCGUUGUUCGGAAUCACUGGGCUUAAAGCGUGUGUAGGCGGAUCGUUAAGUGUCUUGUGAAAUCCCACGGCUCACCCGUGGAACUGCUGGGCAUACUGGCGAUCUUGGGCCAACUAGGGGCAGCCGGAACAAGCGGUGGAGCGGUGAAAUGCGUAGAUAUCGCUUGGAACGCCGAAGGUGAAAACAGGCUGCUGGGGUUGUGCCGACGCUGAGACACGAAAGCCAGGGGAGCAAACGGG
rnacentral:rRNA from 1 species